UGACCCCGCGCGGGAGAGUCCACCGGCAGGACGACGGUGGCGCCGAAGGAGCAAAUCCUCCCCGGAAUCUCUCAGGCACCUGUACCGCACGGGCGAG
rnacentral:ncRNA from 2 species